rnacentral:rRNA from 1 species
ACGAACGCUGGCGGCGUGCCUAAUACAUGCAAGUCGAACGGUCUUUCUAUGGAAGCUUGCUUCCACUGAGAAGAUAGUGGCGAACGGGUGAGUAACACGUGGGUAACCUGCCCAUAAGAGGGGGAUAACAUCCGGAAACGGGUGCUAAUACCGCAUAGUUUUCUUGAUCGCAUGAUCGGGAAAGGAAGACGGCCUUUGUGCUGUCGCUUAUGGAUGGACCCGCGGCGUAUUAGUUAGUUGGUGAGGUAAUGGCUCACCAAGACGAUGAUACGUAGCCGACCUGAGAGGGUGAUCGGCCACAUUGGGACUGAGACACGGCCCAAACUCCUACGGGAGGCAGCAGUAGGGAAUCUUCCGCAAUGGACGAAAGUCUGACGGAGCAACGCCGCGUGAGUGAAGAAGGUUUUCGGGAAUCGUAAAACUCUGUUGUCAGAGAAGAACAAGUUGGAGAGUAACUGCUCCAGCCUUGGCGGUAUCUGACCAGAAAGCCACGGCUAACUACGUGCCAGCAGCUGC